rnacentral:rRNA from 1 species
AUCAUGGCUCAGGAUAAACGCUGGCGGCGUGCCUAAUACAUGCAAGUCGAACGGAAGGUUUGUAGCAAUACUGACCUUUAGUGGCGAAUGGGUGAGUAACGCGUUGGUGACCUGCCCCAAAGAGAGGGACAACAGUUCGAAAGGACUGCUAAUACCUCAUGUGGUUACGAGGACUAGAUGCCUCGUAUCUAAAGGAGCAAUCCGCUUUGGGAGGGACCUGCGUCCCAUCAGCUAGUUGGUAGGGUAACGGCCUACCAAGGCUACGACGGGUAGGGGGCCUGAGAGGGUGGCCCCCCACAUUGGCACUGAAACACGGGCCAAACACCUACGGGUGGCAGCAGUAGGGAAUAUUGCACAAUGGGCGAAAGCCUGAUGCAGCAACGCCGCGUGCGCGAUGAAGGCCUUCGGGUCGUAAAGCGCUUUUUGAGGAGAUGAGGAAGGACAGUAUCCUCAGAAUAAGAUUCGGCUAACUACGUGCCAGCAGCCGCGGUAACACGUAGGAAUCGAGCGUUAUCCGAAUUUACCGGGCGUAAAGCGCGUGCAGGCGGUUUGGUAAGUUGGAUGUGAAAGCUCCCGGCUCAACUGGGAGAGGCCGUUCAAAACUACCAGACUUGAGGACGGUAGAGGAAGGUGGAAUUCCCGGUGUAGUAGUGAAAUGCGUAGAUAUCGGGAGGAACACCAGUGGCGAAAGCGGCCUUCUGGACCGUUUCUGACGCUAAGACGCGAAAGCUAGGGGAGCGAACGGGAUUAGAAACCCCGGUAGUCCUAGCCGUAAACGAUGUAGACUGGGCGUCGGUGGGGUAAAAGCCAUCGGUGCCGAAGCUAACGCGAUAAGUCUACCGCCUGGGGACUACGGCCGCAAGGUUAAAACUCAAAU